rnacentral:rRNA from 1 species
UACCAGCACCCCGAGUGGUCGGGACGUUUAUUGGGCCUAAAGCAUCCGUAGCCGGUUCUACAAGUCUUCCGUUAAAUCCACCUGCUUAACAGAUGGGCUGCGGAAGAUACUAUAGAGCUAGGAGGCGGGAGAGGCAAGCGGUACUCGAUGGGUAGGGGUAAAAUCCGUUGAUCCAUUGAAGACCCCCAGGGGCGAAGGCGGCUUGCCAGAACGCGCUCGACGGUGAGGGAUGAAAGCUGGGGAGCAAACCGG